UAUCAGGUGGGGAAGCCCCAUGCAAUUUUACCACAGGAAGAACCUCUUCUUCUAAAAUAGAAAAGCAGAACAAGCACAUACAGUCAUGUUUUUAUCCAGUAGUAAAAGCAAUCACAUGCACCACUCCCAAAGAAGAGCGGGGGCCUGGGCAGAGACCUCUAAAAGCACAAGCAAAAAACCCCAGAAAUGCUCAGCCUGCAGAUCAUAAUACCCAAGGAUCAGAAGACCACCAGGACAGAACAGAAAAGUAUGGUUCCUCAGAGGAAAACAAGCCACAUACCUCUGAGAAAACCACAUG